UUGGUCAAGCUACUAAGGGCAUACGGUGGAUGCCUUGGCGUCAGAAGGCGAUGAAGGACGUGGUAAGCUGCGAUAAGCCUCGGUGAGCCGCAAACAGGCUUUGACCCGAGGAUUUCCGAAUGGGGCAACCUGGCCGGACAAAAUCCGGUCAUCUUAAGCUGAAUACAUAGGCUUAAGAAGCGAACGGGGGGAAGUGAAACAUCUCAGUACCCCCAGGAAGAGAAAUCAAAUGAGAUUCCCUGAGUAGUGGCGAGCGAAACGGGAAUAGCCUAAACCGGAGAGACGCAAGUUUCUCCGGGGUUGCGGGACCCCGACGUGGGACCCAGAGGGAUAGUGGAAGGGCCUGGAAAGGCCUGCCAUAGCGGGUGAUAGCCCCGUACACGAAAUCCUGAAGGGCCCUAGGGAGUUCCCAAGUACCACGGGACACGAGAAAUCCUGUGGGAAUCCGGGAGGACCAUCUUCCAAGGCUAAAUACUCACUGACGACCGAUAGUGCACUAGUACCGUGAGGGAAAGGCGAAAAGAACCCCGAGAGGGGAGUGAAAUAGAACCUGAAACCGUAUGCUUACAAACAGUUCGAGGGCUAUGCCCGCAAGGGAAUGCCUGAGAGCGUGCCUUUUGCAUAAUGACUCAGCGAGUUACUGUACGUGGCAAGGUUAAGCCGUUAGGUGGAGCCGUAGCGAAAGCGAGUCUGAAUAGGGCGAUCAGUCGCGUAUAGUAGACCCGAAGCGUGUUGAUCUACCCAUGGCCAGGGUGAAGGGUCGGUAACACGGCCUGGAGGCCCGAACUGGUGAUUGUUGCAAAAAUCUCGGAUGAGCUGUGGGUAGGAGUGAAAGGCUAAACAAAACACGUGAUAGCUGGUUCUUCCCGAAAUAUAUUUAGGUAUAGCCUCGCAAAUUAAGCACCGGGGGUAGAGCACUGGAUGGGCUAGGGCCUCUCACGAGGUACCAAACCUAACCAAACUCCGAAUACCGGUGACUUCUAUUGCGGGAGUCAGUCAGCGGGGGAUAAGCUCCGUUGUCGAGAGGGAAUCAACCCAGACCGCCAGCUAAGGUCCCUAAAUCAAGCUAAGUGGCAAAGGAUGUGGAACUACUUAGACACCCAGGAGGUUGGCUUAGAAGCAGCCAUCCUUUAAAGAAAGCGUAAUAGCUCACUGGUCUAGUGGUUCUGCGCCGAAAAUGUACCGGGGCUAAAGCUUGAUACCGAAGCUGCGGGUUGGCAGAGUAAUCUGCCAGCGGUAGGGAAGCUUUCCAGUAACCUGCGAAGGCAGACCGUGAGGACUGCUGGAGGACCUGGAAGUGCUUAUGCUGAGAUAAGUAGCGUAAAUGUGGGUGCAAAACCCGCACGCCGAAAGUCUAAGGUUUCCUGGGGAAGGUUAAUCCGCCCAGGGUUAGUCGGGUCCUAAGCCGAGGCCGAAAGGCGUAGGUGAUGGAAAACAGGUUAACAUUCCUGUACCACCAGACAAGCGUUUGAGCGAAGGGGUGACGGAGCAGGGUAGGUCAUCCGGGUGACGGAAGUCCCGGUUUAAGCCCGUAGGCGGGAAGGAUAGGCAAAUCCGUCCUUCUGUUAACGUCGAGAGGUGAUGAGGAGGAAAGCCGCAAGGCGGACCGAACUGGCUAAUCCCAUACUUCCAAGAAAAGCCUCGUAGUGAGCUUGUCAGGUGCUCGUACUGCAAACCGACUCUGGUAGACGAGUAGAGAAUACUAAGGCGCUUGAGAGAACCCUGGUUAAGGAACUCGGCAAUCUAGCCCCGUAACUUCGGGAGAAGGGGUGCCCUCGCCGGUUGUCCGGACUUGCUCCGGAAGGCUGGCUGGGGGCCGCAGUGAAAUGGGGGUUGCGACUGUUUAACAAAAACACAGGACUCUGCUAACUCGCAAGAGGAUGUAUAGGGUCUGACUCCUGCCCGGUGCCGGAAGGUUAAGGGGACGGGUUAUUCGCUUCGGCGGAGAAGCUCGGAACCGAAGCCCCGGUAAACGGCGGCCGUAACUAUAACGGUCCUAAGGUAGCGAAAUUCCUUGUCGGGUAAGUUCCGACCUGCACGAAUGGAGUAACGAUCAUCCCCGCUGUCUCGACCAGGGACUCAGCGAAAUUGAAUUGCCAGUGAAGAUGCUGGCUACCCGCAUCAAGACGGAAAGACCCCGUGCACCUUUACUAUACCCUGGUAUUGGACAUUGGAAUAGUUUGUGUAGGAUAGGUGGGAGGCUAUGAACCGGAGGCGCUAGCUUUCGGGGAGCCGACGUUGAAAUACCACCCUGAUUAUUCUGAUGUUCUAACCUUGGUCCGUCAUCCGGGCCAGGGACAGUGCCAGGCGGGUAGUUUGACUGGGGCGGUCGCCUCCCAAAUCGUAACGGAGGCGCGCGAAGGUUCCCUCAGGCUGAUUGGAAACCAGCCGGCGAGUGCAAAGGCAUAAGGGAGCUUAACUGCAAGACCUACAAGUCAAGCAGAUGCGAAAGCAGGUCUUAGUGAUCCGGUGGUCCCGCGUGGAAGGGCCAUCGCUCAACGGAUAAAAGGUACGCCGGGGAUAACAGGCUGAUCGGGCCCAAGAGUUCACAUCGACGGCCCGGUUUGGCACCUCGAUGUCGGCUCAUCGCAUCCUGGGGCUGGAGCAGGUCCCAAGGGUUCGGCUGUUCGCCGAUCAAUAGCGGUACGUGAGCUGGGUUCAGAACGUCGUGAGACAGUUCGGUCCCUAUCUGAUGUGGGCGCAGGAGAUUUGAGGGAAGCUGUCCUUAGUACGAGAGGACCGGGAUGGCGGGACCUCCAGUAUUCCAGUUGUUCUGCCAAGGGCAACGCUGGUUAGCUGUGUCCCGAAGGGAUAACCGCUGAAAGCAUCUAAGUGGGAAGCCCCUCCCAAGAUAAGAUCUCCCGGGCCGUAAGGCUCCUAAAGGUCACUUGGAGACUACAAGUUUGAUAGGCCGGGUGUGUAAGCGCCGCAAGGCGUUAAGCUAACCGGUACUAAUCGACCGUGAGGCUUGACCAAUUU
rnacentral:rRNA from 1 species